CCGAAGUUAACACAUUAAGCAUUCCGCCUGGGAGUACGGUCGCAAGACUGAAACUCAAAGGAGUUGACGGGGACCCGCACAAGCAGUGGAGUAUGUGGUUUAAUUCGAAGCAACGCGAAGAACCUUACCAAGUCUUGACAUCCCUCUGAAUCCCCUAGAGAUAGGGGCGGCCUUCGGGACAGAGGAGACAGGUGGUGCAUGGUUGUCGUCAGCUCGUGUCGUGAGAUGUUGGGUUAAGUCCCGCAACGAGCGCAACCCUUGAUCUUAGUUGCCAGCACUUCGGGUGGGCACUCUAAGGUGACUGCCGGUGACAAACCGGAGGAAGGUGGGGAUGACGUCAAAUCAUCAUGCCCCUUAUGACUUGGGCUACACACGUACUACAAUGGCUGGUACAACGGGAAGCGAAGCCGCGAGGUGGAGCCAAUCCUAAAAAGCCAGUCUCAGUUCGGAUUGCAGGCUGCAACUCGCCUGCAUGAAGUCGGAAUUGCUAGUAAUCGCGGAUCAGCAUGCCGCGGUGAAUACGUUCCCGGGUCUUGUACACACCGCCCGUCACACCACGAGAGUUUACAACACCCGAAGUCGGUGGGGUAACCCGCAAGGGAGCCAGCCGCCGAAGGUGGGGUAGAUGAUUGGGGUGAAGUCGUAACAAGGUAGCCGUAUCGGAAGGUGCGGCUG
rnacentral:rRNA from 1 species